UUCUGCUCAAUGAUUUUAAAUAGCCGCAGUACUCUGACUGUGCAAAGGUAGCAUAAUAAGUUGGCUUAUAAUUGAAGUCUGGAAUCAAGGAAUCUUUGGAAAAACGCUGUCUUUUUUAUUCAUGUGAAAUUAUUUAUUAAGUGCAAAUUCUUAAUUAAAUACAAUAGACGAGAAGACCCUAGAAAUUUUUAAAAAAUCGAAAGAAUCGUUACUUUUUUGUUGGGGCAACAGAGCUACACGCAAAAUUAGCAUUAAGUACGCGAAGAAUACAGAUAGAAGAUAAUUACUCUAGGGAUAACAGCAUAAUUAUAGUUUAGUUUGUGACCUCGAUGUUGGACUAGGACCCUUAACAUUCAAAAGAUUACAAGGUUGGCUCUG
rnacentral:rRNA from 1 species